rnacentral:lncRNA from 1 species
GCUCCCCCUACUCCAGACAUGCUGAAUCAGAAAUUUUGAGGUUGAGGUCCAGGAAUGUGUUUUAACAAGUCCUCCAGGAUGCACUCUCAUGUUUGAAACACCACAUACCUAGAUGACGAGUUUAACGAUGAGCCAAGACUCUUCAUAUUCCACAAUUCACCAUCAGAAAGACGGCACGCUCCUCUGAUUCACAGUCCUUUUAGAUAUUCCUGGAACGGUCAUCCUGUAGGAGACUCGUUUCAUCGGUACACAGUAAGUAUGUUCUGGUAGCAUGGGAAUUCCAUGUCAUAAGA